rnacentral:rRNA from 1 species
GACGAACGCUGGCGGCGUGCCUAAUACAUGCAAGUAGAACGCUGAAGGAGGAGCUUGCUCUUCUGGAUGAGUUGCGAACGGGUGAGUAACGCGUAGGUAACCUGCCUGGUAGCGGGGGAUAACUAUUGGAAACGAUAGCUAAUACCGCAUAACAGUAGAUAUCGCAUGAUAUUUGCUUGAAAGGUGCAAUUGCACCACUACCAGAUGGACCUGCGUUGUAUUAGCUAGUUGGUGAGGUAACGGCUCACCAAGGCAACGAUACAUAGCCGACCUGAGAGGGUGAUCGGCCACACUGGGACUGAGACACGGCCCAGACUCCUACGGGAGGCAGCAGUAGGGAAUCUUCGGCAAUGGACGGAAGUCUGACCGAGCAACGCCGCGUGAGUGAAGAAGGUUUUCGGAUCGUAAAGCUCUGUUGUAAGAGAAGAACGAGUGUGAGAGUGGAAAGUUCACA